rnacentral:rRNA from 1 species
GUUUGAUCAUGGCUCAGAUUGAACGCUGGCGGCAGGCCUAACACAUGCAAGUCGAGCGGUAGAGAGAAGCUUGCUUCUCUUGAGAGCGGCGGACGGGUGAGUAAUGCCUAGGAAUCUGCCUGGUAGUGGGGGAUAACGUUCGGAAACGGACGCUAAUACCGCAUACGUCCUACGGGAGAAAGCAGGGGACCUUCGGGCCUUGCGCUAUCAGAUGAGCCUAGGUCGGAUUAGCUAGUUGGUGGGGUAAUGGCUCACCAAGGCGACGAUCCGUAACUGGUCUGAGA